rnacentral:rRNA from 1 species
CAGCAGUAGCCACGGUAAUACAGAGGGUGCGAGCGUUAAUUGGAUUUACUGGGCGUAAAGCGUGCGUAGGCGGCUUUUUAAGUCGGAUGUGAAAUCCCUGAGCUUAACUUAGGAAUUGCAUUCGAUACUGGGAAGCUAGAGUAUGGGAGAGGAUGGUAGAAUUCCAGGUGUAGCGGUGAAAUGCGUAGAGAUCUGGAGGAAUACCGAUGGCGAAGGCAGCCAUCUGGCCUAAUACUGACGCUGAGGUACGAAAGCAUGGGGAGCAAACAGGAUUAGAUACCCCUGUAGUCCCUGUCUCUUAUAC